CCUACGGGCGGCUGCAGUGGGGAAUAUUGCACAAUGGGCGCAAGCCUGAUGCAGCCAUGCCGCGUGUGUGAAGAAGGCCUUCGGGUUGUAAAGCACUUUCAGCGGGGAGGAAGGCGUUAAGGUUAAUAACCUUGGCGAUUGACGUUACCUGCAGAAGAAGCACCGGCUAACUCCGUGCCAGCAGCCGCGGUAAUACGGAGGGUGCAAGCGUUAAUCGGAAUUACUGGGCGUAAAGCGCACGCAGGCGGUCUGUCAAGUCGGAUGUGAAAUCCCCGGGCUCAACCUGGGAACUGCAUUCGAAACUGGCAGGCUAGAGUCUUGUAGAGGGGGGUAGAAUUCCAGGUGUAGCGGUGAAAUGCGUAGAGAUCUGGAGGAAUACCGGUGGCGAAGGCGGCCCCCUGGACAAAGACUGACGCUCAGGUGCGAAAGCGUGGGGAGCAAACAGGAUUAGAUACCCGUGUAGUC
rnacentral:rRNA from 1 species